CUCGGGGAUAGCCUUUCGAAAGAAAGAUUAAUACCCGAUGGCAUAGUUCUUCCGCAUGGUAGAACUAUUAAAGAAUUUCGGUCAUCGAUGGGGAUGCGUUCCAUUAGGUUGUUGGCGGGGUAACGGCCCACCAAGCCUACGAUCGGUAGCCGGACUGAGAGGUUGAUCGGCCACAUUGGGACUGAGACACGGCCCAGACUCCUACGGGAGGCAGCAUG
rnacentral:rRNA from 1 species